rnacentral:lncRNA from 12 species
CAAAGUCAUUUUCUGUGUCUUCAAACAUUUUUUUGUUUUUUUUUUAAAUUUUGGUUACUUUAGUGUCUUCUGGACUCUCUCUGGCCACCCAGGACUCAGCGUGCCAAUACAUCUUUGCCCUGUGGUAGCAACCCCUCACUGAAGAUGCACAGCCCUUUUCAGAGGAAAGGAGAAGCUCAGAGAAAGCAAUUGCACCUCAGCAGAAGUCCAUGUCCCUCUCUGCUUCCCCACAUAAUACUUUGGAAGAUUAAAGUACAGUGACCCUGCUCUUGAGAAAGCUGUGGGUUAGAGGCAAAGAUUUCAAGUUAUUACAAGAUGUUGAGCACACAGAUCUCUCCCUGGCUGUCUGCAAGAUGUUGCCUGAGAGUUGAGAAAGGCCCUCAC